CGGGGUGUAGCUCAGCCUGGUCAGAGCGCGUGGUUUGGGACCACGAGAUCGCCGGUUCGAAUCCAGUCCCCCGAA
rnacentral:tRNA from 1 species